AAGUCGUAACAAGGUUUCCGUAGGUGAACCUGUGGAAGGAUCAUUAACAACAUAUCCUAACUAAAAAACCCUGUGAACUUUCAACCUGGAGGCCGACACGGCCGGCGACCGGGUCAGCGAGCUCUGCUCCCACUGUUACGUCAAACCCCAUGUUCCCCUCUAGUGAAAGCUAUUGGGUUAUAACUAAACGACUGUUAACAAUGGAUAUCUCGAUUCUC
rnacentral:misc_RNA from 1 species